AUGCUGCCGUGCGCGCGGUCGGUGCUGCGGAGGAGGGGGCUGGCCCUCCUGCGCGGGUUCGCCGAGGGCGACUGCGGCAGGGGGGAGGCGCUCGCCAAUGCCAGGUGCGCGGCCACGCUGGCCGGGCUAGGUGGCAGGGUCGGGCGCUGGGCCGAUCCGCCGGCGCGCGGCGAGCCGCGCCGGUUGGGCGCGGGCUGGCCCGCGGGCGCGCAGACGAGGAGCUUCCUCGGGUGCGGCGACGGGGAGGAGGGGAGCGUCCUCUCCAAGGUCUACGAGGAGAGGCGCGUGAUGGGGUACUCGCCGGAGCAGAUGUAUGCCGUCGUCGCGGCUGUGGACCUCUACGAGGAUUUUGUGCCCUGGUGCCAGCGGUCCAGGGUUAUUAGGCGGUAUGACGACGGCUCGUUUGACGCCGAGCUCGAAAUUGGAUUCAAGUUCUUUGUCGAAAGCUAUGUCUCUCAUGUGGAGAUGGAGAAGCCCAAAUAUAUCAAGACGACUGCGUCUCAAAGUGGACUUUUCGAUCAUUUGAUAAACGUUUGGGAAUUCAAGCCUGGUCCUGUUCCUGGAACCUGUGACCUUUACUUCUUAGUCGAUUUUAAGUUUCAGUCACCCCUAUAUCGGCAGGUUGCUUCCAUGUUCUUCAAGGAAGUUGUUUCCAAGCUCGUGGGCUCAUUUAGCGAUCGAUGUUUUAGAAUUUAUGGACCUGCCGUUCCUGUGCUGGAAAAGCCUUACGGGCAUGGAAGAUAA
rnacentral:rRNA from 1 species